rnacentral:rRNA from 1 species
UACGGGGGGGGCUAGCGUUAUUCGGAAUCAUUGGGCGUAAAGGGCGCGUAGGCGGCGCGGUAAGUCAAAGGUGAAAUCCCUCGGCUUAACCGGGGAACUGCGUCUGAUACUGGAUGGCUUGAGAUUGGGAGAGGGAUGCGGAAUUCCAGGUGUAGCGGUGAAAUGCGUAGAUAUCUGGAGGAACACCGGUGGCGAAGGCGGCAUCCUGGACCAACACUGACACUGAGGAGCGAAAGCCAGGGGAGCAAACGGG